rnacentral:misc_RNA from 1 species
GAUGAAGAACGCAGCGAAAUGCGAUACGUAAUGUGAAUUGCAGAAUUCAGUGAAUCAUCGAAUCUUUGAACGCAUAUUGCGCUCUCUUGUAUUCCGGAGAGCAUGCUUGUUUGAGUAUCAGUAAACACCUCAACUUCCAUAUCUUUUUUUGAAAUGGGAGUUGGACUUGAGUGAUCCCAACGCUUUUCCUCACCGAAAAGUGGCGGGUUACUUGAAAUGCAGGUGCAGCUGGACUUUUCUCUGAGCUAUAAGCAUAUCUAUUUAGUCUGCCUAAAAAACAGAUUAUUACCUUUGCUGCAGCUAACAUAAAGGAGAUUAGUUCUUGUGCUGACUGAUGCAGGAUUCACAAAGACAGCUUCGGCCGACUUUGUAAACUCGAUCUCAAAUCAAGUAAGACUACCCGCUGAACUUAAGCAUAUCAAUAAGCGGAGGA